rnacentral:rRNA from 1 species
AUUGAACGCUGGCGGCAUGCUUUACACAUGCAAGUCGAACGGUAACAGGCCGCAAGGUGCUGACGAGUGGCGCACGGGUGAGUAAUGCAUCGGAGCGUGCCCAGUCGUGGGGGAUAACUACUCGAAAGAGUAGCUAAUACCGCAUACGAUCUAUGGAUGAAAGCGGGGGACCGUAAGGCCUCGCGCGAUUGGAGCGGCCGAUGUCAGAUUAGGUAGUUGGUGGGGUAAAGGCUCACCAAGCCAACGAUCUGUAGCUGGUCUGAGAGGACGACCAGCCACACUGGGACUGAGACACGGCCCAGACUCCUACGGGAGGCAGCAGUGGGGAAUUUUGGACAAUGGGCGCAAGCCUGAUCCAGCAAUGCCGCGUGCAGGAAGAAGGCCUUCGGGUUGUAAACUGCUUUUGUACGGAACGAAACGGCUCUGGUUAAUACCCGGGGCUAAUGACGGUACCGUAAGAAUAAGCACCGGCUAACUACGUG